rnacentral:tRNA from 1 species
GAGGGUAUAGCUCAGUGGUAGAGUGUAGUUCUUGGCAUGCAUGAGGUCCUGAGUUCAAUCCCCAGCACCUUCA